rnacentral:rRNA from 1 species
UACGGGGGGUGCAAGCGUUGCUCGGAAUCACUGGGCGUAAAGCGUCCGCAGGCGGCUUGGUAAGUCGGGUGUGAAAGCCCGGGGCUCAACCCCGGAACUGCAUUCGAAACUGCCUGGCUUGAGUACGGGAGAGGUUCGCGGAAUUCCUGGUGUAGAGGUGAAAUUCGUAGAUAUCAGGAGGAACACCGGUGGCGAAAGCGGCGAACUGGCCCGAUACUGACGCUCAUGGACGAAAGCGUGGGGAGCAAACAGG